rnacentral:rRNA from 1 species
GACGAACGCUGGCGGCGUGCUUAACACAUGCAAGUCGAACGGAAAGGCCCUGCUUUUGUGGGGUGCUCGAGUGGCGAACGGGUGAGUAACAAGUGAGUAACCUGCCCUUGACUUUGGGAUAACUUCAGGAAACUGGGGCUAAUACCUGAUAGGAGCUCCUGCUGCAUGGUGGGGGUUGGAAAGUUUCGGCGGUUGGGGAUGGACUCGCGGCUUAUCAGCUUGUUGGUGGGGUAGUGGCUUACCAAGGCUUUGACGGGUAGCCGGCCUGAGAGGGUGACCGGCCUCAUUGGGACUGAGAUACGGCCCAGACUCCUACGGGAGGCAGCAGUGGGGAAUAUUGCACAAUGGGCGGAAGCCUGAUGCAGCAACGCCGCGUGACGGAUGACGGCCUUAGGGUUGUAAACCGCUUUCGCCUGUGACGAAGCGUGAGUGACGGUAAUGUGUAAAGAAGCACCGGAUAACUACGUG